GAUGAACGCUAGCUACAGGCUUAACACAUGCAAGUCGCGGGGCAGCAUGAACUUGGCUUGCCAGGUUUGAUGGCGACCGGCGCACGGGUGAGUAACGCGUAUCCAACCUGCCCAUGUCCACGGGAUAGCCCGUCGAAAGGCGGAUUAAUACCGUAUGAGGUCACAUGAUGGCAUCAGACUGUGACGAAAGGUUUGGCGGACAUGGAUGGGGAUGCGUCCGAUUAGCUUGUUGGCGGGGUAACGCCCACC
rnacentral:rRNA from 1 species